AUACUGACUUUGGCAGCACACAUACAAAAAUUGGAACGAUACAGAGAAGAUUAGUGUAGCCCCUGCACAAGGAUGACAUGCAAAUUUGUGAAGUGUUCCAUAUUUUG
rnacentral:snRNA from 1 species